CCCAGCCGCUCCCCCUACGCUCGGCCAAGCCUUUGUUUCGGAUCUUCCUUUUUUUUUUUUUUUUUUUUUUUCGUUUUUCCUCUCUCUCUCCCUUCUCUCCCUGCUGGCCCGGCUGUGGCCGCCCCAUCCUCCCCGGCUCGGCCGGGCCACUCGGCCCGUCCCCGACAGGGAGAGGAGGCGCCGGGGGCCCUUGUUGAGUGGGGAAGCGGCUGCUCGGAGCGCCGCGGGGAGGCGGACAUCGCGGCGAGAAACAUCGGCGAGGCGGGGGGAGAGGGAUGGGCGGAAUGUGCCUGCUAAUCAUCCGUGCCCCCUCCCUGCCCUCUGUAAGCGAAGCAUCCCCCGUUCAUUCCCCCUUCACUCCCCCCUUCCCGGCACUUCCAGGCCCUCUGUAUGGGAAUCACGAGCAGGCUCGGUGGAAAAAUCUCCCAUAGUGGCUCCAGAGUGUGUGCUGAAUUUCAAGGUGUGUGUGGGAGGGGGAGGCAGCACCAGCAUUUAUGGAGCUUGGUUACCCUCCCUCCCGCCCUCGUCCCUCUUCUAUAUAUGUGCUGUAAGCAGGCAGGCGCCUUUAUGGCUAAUAAAAACGUGUUUCCCUAUGUAUAGUUAGACUGAGAGCUUGGCACCGGUAAACUGAAAGCCAGUCAGUGCCAGGGAGCAGCCUGCAGAUGAACAAGAAGCUCUGGCAUCCCUGCCCAUGGGUAAGGUAGCCUGGCCGUGUUCACACCGUGCUUCCCAGGAUAAGUCAGCACAGUGACCAUGUAGACUAUUUGUGAUGUGUAUGUUGGACAACAUGGAGUGAGCACUAAUACUAUACCAGCUCCUGUCCGUUGUGUUAUAUGCUGUCUGCAAAACAGAUCGUCAUUUCUCUUGAGAUUUUUGAUCAAGAAGGUUUUUGUCUUCUCUCCAUUGUCUCCCUAAGCACCAGUGUGGAAUGUUGAUGUAACAUUUGCCAGUCUGGCAGUUUUAUGUUUCCAAAAUCCUUUGUGGGAGGUUCAGCAACUGCAGAAACCCACGAUUCCUCUGGCAUCGCAUUUGUUUGUUCCCGUAAAAAUGUUUAAACAUUUCUAUGCUAAAGAAUUGUGCAGUGAUCUGAUCUCAGCAGUUAUUAAGUCUACUUUGGUUUUUAUUGUCUUUUUCUUUAGAAAAAGCAGCACAAUUUUGUUUAGAGAGGAGGGAAGAAAAGGAGUGAAGAAAGGAUGUUAUGGUUAGUAAAGAAAAAAAUGUAUAGUCCACUUCAAGUGUAGUGGCUGUUAAAUACGCAUGAUUCACUAUGCAGUUAUAAAAAUGAAAGGCAUACCAUCUCGCUUCUUUGCCUCAGAACAUACUUUCUCUUACAGCAACAAGUAGCACAGGCUCCUCUCCCUCUCUUCGCUCCCUCUCCCGCCUUCGGUCCAUCCUGAUGAAAUGCCAGUUACAAAGGUCAGCCUGUUUAUGUACAGAUCACUGUGCUUCUUAGCAAAGACUGCUGUACAUCAAGCCUACAAUGUCUAUCAAACAGACUUUUGGAUUCAAGACACUCAAUUAGAGCACUGUCCAUUUUUGAACACUGAUAAAAUCCUAGAGAAAAGAAAAGACAAAGAGACAUAGUGGGUGAGUGGGAUGGAUCAACAGUGCCAAGGUGUGCAUGGGCAGCAAUAUCAUAUUUGUUGCUGCGAACACUGGCAACAUCAAAUGAACCUCUGUGUGUGUGUCUGUACAAAAAGGGACUUGCUGAUAUGCUAAUGCUUUUCUGCUCUUCUCUUUAGGUUUCUUGUUAACCCUAAUGAUGUCUUAGGCUGAACUUGCUUCUGCAGCUGCUUCACACCAAAGGCAGCUUGAAUCAGCCAUGGAGAAUUUUGAGCCUGACCACCCCUCCCUCCCCCCCAGUAAAAGCGAAGAGGUUGACUUCACCAGGCCUUGGCUCAGACCCUUCACAAUUAGGUGCAGUUUUCAUUUCAAAGCACCCAGCUGUGCAAUGGACAUGGAUCUUUGUUUCACUGUGGUCCCUUCCUCUCCCUGCCAGCUUCUUUAAUCUAGAGAGCAGCACAGUUUUGUUUCCUUGACUAGUAUCACCUCCCCUGACCCUUUCCCACUUUAAAUCUAGCAAGUGUAUUGUGAUAUUAUUAAAUUGUAUAUAAAUGCCCAAUAGCUAAGGGUUAAAAAAAGUUGCCUUCAACUAACAACACGGAUCUUCCACUGUGGGCUAUCCAAGAGCUAUCUGCCACCGUAGUUCCCUCUUAGCCCUUAAAAUAGUCCUGAAGCAGAAUUGAAGUGCUAUAGAGGACUAUGAUGCCUUUUGUUUAAUGGUUUUAAUAAUCUAUGGCCUUAUAAUGUAACAUUACAAAAUCUCAUAAUGAGGCAGAACACUGAAGUAACAAACAAUGGAAGAAACUGUACUCAAUCAGGGCAGGAAAUUACACCACCCACUGAAAAUAUUAAAUCCAAACUUGUGAUCAAGGUUAGCCAAGGAGCUGCACAGAACCAUUCCUCCAGCCUUGUGGCCUUGAAUUACAGGUCUUUAGGUUCCUUUAUCCUGUAAAUCUGUGUUAAAUAGCAGUGUAUAUCUGUGUUGGUAAAUGUACUUUUUAACAGCUUAUCCCAUAAUAUUUUAUUUUUUUACUUCAUUUAAUCAGGCUUUUUCUUCCAGAACCUGCUGCAUGCUUCUCUUUAGCUACUGAAAAAUGCAUGUAAUUCGUUAAGCCAGUUCAGCAGUUACCCUUAGUUUGCAACAGGAAAACCUAUUAUGCAAACAAUACUGUCACCUUUUUGAAGUACCUUCCCUCUCCUAGCUCUAAUGAAUUCUCUGCAUGCUACUCUGCUGUAAAUUCUCCAUCUAAAAAUUCCAUCCACUACAUGUUUCGUCAGGGGAAAUUGUACUUGACUUUUGAAACAGGUGGGAGGAGCAAAAUGAUAACCUACUAAAGUGCCUUGCCCUUAACUGAAAUCAUGGCAAAGUAAUUAAAGUUAGAGCAAAAAGUCUUAAACUUUGGACUGCUUAUGUUCUUAGAGUUUUUGCUUAGCUGAUUUUUUUUAGGAGUCUGAUUUGAACGUCAAAUUUGCAUAUUCAGCUAGAAAACAUAGGGAAUGCUUAAUUUCCUAUGUCUGGUAUUCAUAUUUUGCUUUGAAAACAAUGUGUCACAUAUUCCUGGGUUUCAUUUCUAGUUACUAUUUGCAUCUAUAAAUUAAACUGUGCAUCUAAACAAGUGCUAGAUUUGCUCAUUAUGGAAACAAAUGUGUUGUGUUUAGAAUUUUGCUUUAUACACAUAUCUGAGAAAUAUGGAAUCAUAGAACAGACCAGAUUGGAAGGGACCUCAAAAUAUCAUCUGGCCCAACGUUUUGUGGAAAAGCGACCACAGAUAAGAUUACCUAACACCCUACCCAAUCGCAUCUUGAAAACCUCCAGCAAUGGGGACUCCACUAUGGCCCUGGGGAUGUUAUUCCAGUCAAUUAUUGUUCUUACUAAAAAAAAAUUCUUUCUGAUGUUGACAUGAAACUUCUCCCAGCGCAACUACUCUUUGUAGCCACCCUGUAAGUACUGGGACACUAUGACAAGGUCUCCCCAAGACUUCUCUUCUCCAGGGAGAAAAGACCUAACUCCUUCAGUAUUUCCUCACAAGGCAGUUUCUCCAGCCCUUUGAUCUGCAUACAGCUCUGGAGCUCUCAGCACAGGACAGAUGUGGACCUGUUGGUCCAGAGGAGCUACAGAAAUGAUCCGAGGCUGGAACAGCUCUGCUGGGAGGACAGGCUGAUAGAGCUGGGGUGUCCAGCUGCAGAAGAGAGAGACUGGGGAGACCUUACCGUGGCCUUUCCGUACUUAAAAGAGACAGAUAAGAAAGAUGGAGACAGACUGUUUGGCAGGGCCUGUUGCGAUAGGACAAGGGAUGAUGGUUUUAAACUCGAAGAGAUUCAGGCCAGACAUGAGAAAGAAACUUUUUAUAUUGAGGGUGGUGAGAGCCUGGCCGAGGUUGGCCAGAGACGUGGUGGAUGAACCGUCCCUGGAGACAUCCCAGGCCGGGCUGGACGGGGGCUCCGAGCAACCUGAGCUGCUGAAGAUGUCCCUGCUCAUGGCAGGGGGGAUGGACUAGAUGAGCUUUGAAGGUCCCUUCCAACUCAAACUGUUCUAUUAUUCUAUGAUCAUCUCCGUGGACCUCCUUCGGACCCUCUCCCAUCUGUCUGCUUCUUUCAUGAAUUGUAGGGACCAUAACUGGACACAGUACUCCAGGUGCAGCCUGACAAACGAUGAGUAGAAUGAGAUGAUCACAUCUCUUGCUCUCUUAGUAACAUCUCUGCAGAUGCAGCCCAGGAUUCAAUUUGCCUUUGUUGCUGCAGCAGCACACUGCUGACUCAUAUGCAGCUUGUUGUCCACCACCAACCUAUUUUGAACUAUAUAUUUUUUUUCUUUAAUGGAGAUAUGAUUCAUUUGAAUAAAAUUAUAUCCACUUAAUUUUUAUUUUCUUGCAGAGGAGAUUAUUUUUAGCAUUUCUCAACAUUUCAAUGGCGAGGAAUGAUCUAGUAUUGUAGAAUCUCUUUAAUUUCUCCCCAAAAGCUAGAUCAAAGAAAUAUAGCAUUAACAAUGAUUACAUACUUGCCUUAUCCUUUCUCAGAAGAGGACAAACUUAACGUGUUUGUUAAUUUUUCAGGGUCUUGCUAUCACUAAAACACCAAUCUUCUAAGAUAGGAUAGCCUUGUAUUUGCUAUUUUCAGAAGAUAUUAAUUGCAGGACCUGUGAGCUCACAGGAACUCACUGGACACAGCUAGACAUACAUAUCUAGAAGGGAUACAAUACUAUAGCAGUUGUGAUGUUGAGGCAUGAAUGCCUCUAGUGUGGGCAAUCUACUGCCCCCUGUUGGAAGAUUAAAUCUGUUCUGUAGAACCUUUACAGUUAUUGUCUGCGCUAGGUUGGGUACUACUACAAGGUUGUCUUCUCAUACUGCAAAUACACACAGCAGCCUGGACCACAAACUGUGUCUUUGAAUGAACAGAGGGGUUUAAUGGCUCUACUGUGAUAGACAUUGUUUAUAACUGUAAAUUCUCCUUAAGACGUAGAGCCAAUGAGGACUGUUGUCACACAGCUUGAUAGGUGAAACCACAUGACUUCUUCAAAGCGUUCCCAACCUUGACAUUAGAACUUAAGUGGACAACAAAAAACAAUGUAAUUUCUUCCAUAUCCAUAGGUCAAUGGCAAUAAUAAUGUGUUACAAUACUGUUACUGACUUUUUUUUUUGCUGUGUUUUUUAAGCUAAGACAUAUUUUCUCCGUGUUUCCAUAGCCAGUGGCUAUGCAGGCAAAAAUAUGGACUUGGCAUUUUUAAAGUAAACUCUGAUGUACUCAGGCAUUCACUUUUUCUUGCUAGCUGGACUUCAGAAAAUCAGAAAAGACUUUCUUACAUUCAAGAAAAUAAAAAGAUAAUUAGAGAGAAAAAGGUAAAGGAGGAGAUGCAUUGCAUUGUGGUGGAGAGUCUUAUGCAUUAAAUACCUGUUUUUCUCAGGGAAAAUGUGGCUGUGGUAGCUCAAUACCAGAAGGAAUGUCCUGUGGAACGGGUUCAAUAUGUAUCUCCAGAAGCUGAUACAAUGGAACUGGAACGGAGGCCUCCCACAAGCACGGGGUUCACAAGCAGUGUGAGAAGCACUAGCCUAACGCUUCAGCAUAUUUGUAGAGAACGGAGGUUACUUUUAGUGUGUUCAUGUUUAAAUACAGAAGCCAUGCAUCUUCUAUCAAGUGCCUAUCCCUAUGUGAUUUUAGUGUUGUCACAUAAGUAAAAUCUAGCUGUCAAUGUUGUGUUCUGAGUGGUCUGAAUUGAGUCCCUUCCAGAUUAGGCAAGGUAUUAACACACAAAAAAUCUGUAUUUCAGAGAGCUCAGAAUCUGAAAUGUGUUUGAACUAAUGAUGGAGGACAGAAGAAGUGCUGAAAUUACUAGAAGGCUCCUCAAUGUGUUUUCUGUGGUGCAUGUGAAAGAGCAAGACCCACUUUUGGACAAGUUUCUGGAAGGGCGAUGGAGUCAAAUGAAAUUCUGAUGCCUGGUACAAAAGACAGACUCGCUAUAAGUUAAAGCAAUUCUGUAUUCAAGGUGUAAAAAAUCCUGUUCUUGACUUGCAACGGCCUGGGUUGGGUCAUUGAGGCACACAACAGGUAGGUGUUCUUGUGCUCUUGUUGGCAGCAGCUGUCACCCUUGUCACAGUUCUACUUCUUCCCGAUUUGUGGGGGACUGAUACUAGGAAGAUGUCAGGUUCUCGUCUCAGUCACAAAGGAAAGGAGGCUGAAAAAAAGAUUUCUCUCACAUCAUUUGUUUGAUUAUGUUCUCCAUUCUUCAAAGCAGUGGAGCACAAAGCCCAAAUGUGUUUUAUGAAGCACUCUGGAAUCUGCUUGGCUUUAGGCAUGAGCUUAAAAACUUCAGCAAACAAUAAUGGCUUUAUGUCUUUGAUUAGUCUCUAGCAUGUGUUGUACUGAAUCACAUGGCAGCAGUAAUUUAUAUAUUUAAGGUGGUGUAAAUGUCUUUACCAGAAAGCCAUGUUCUCAGUUGCAUUUCUUUAAAUGACAUUGGAGGGAAAUAAAUAAAAUUUUAGUACCUGAUUUAAAAAAAAUGUGCAUUCAGUUUUGAGUUAGUUGUCUUCACUUUGCUCAGCCUUAGAAAUAAGAUUCCCUUUUUGCCAGAAAUCUCUGACAGAGCAAAACACUAAGUCAUGCUCCUAUUUUGAACAUUAGGAGAUCAGACAUCUGUUUCCUUUUUUUAUUCAGGUAAAGACAGGAAAAGCAACACUAACAAAAUGUAUUAACACAGGAUAAUCUCAAUGUCCCCAUUACUUGUGCACUUCACAUAGCUAGGUAAAAAAAAAAAAAAAAAAACGAAAAAACAAACCCACAACAAAACAACCCUAAAAUACCAUUCUCAUUGAGCAGUGUUUGGACUGUCUAGAGACAAUAGAAUGUCUUCUCAACCAUCUGCUGGAACUUACUGGACAAUUCUUUGUGAGUAUAUAAAGUAAUUGGCAGUUGCUUUUUUGAGACAAAUAAGCGCUGUUGGAGUCUGAAUAAAUCAUACACCUGAAAGCUGAUGUGUAUAUGAAUCCAAAUGUGAUUGUUAUGGAGAUAACCAAUCUGUAUCUUACAACUGUACAUUACAGUUAAUAUUCCAAUCAUUGUAUAGUGUUAAGAAAUAACCAUAGCAUUAUUUUUUUUUCAAAUCCAGUAGUCAUCACAAUUGUCAGUGCAAAAAAGUGCAUAAAUAAGCAAAAAUAAAAAUGCAGUUACAAGUAGAUGAGGAAAACAUUUAUAAUUUCUCUGAUUUCCAAAUGAGUAAAACAAUUUUCUCCGUAUAAUUAAAAAUGAGAAAGCAAGGACAAGAAUAUUGAAGUUGUUCUACUAAAAAAAUAUUCUCUCAGCUUGUGUGGUGCCAUAUUUCAGAUUUGUCACCAAAACAAUGUCAAUAAGACACCGAAGCUGUAGCUAUUGCUAGGGUUGGUAGGCUGGGAGUGAGCAAGAUUUUGGGAGGGGACACAUCCAGGCCAGCUGACCUGAAUUGGCUAAAGGGAUAUUCUGUAACCUAUGAUGUCAUGCUCUCUACAGCUGCCUGAAAGGAGGUUGUAGCGUGGAGGGUGUUGGUCUCUUCUCCCAAGGAACAAGCACCAGGAACAGAGGAAACGGCCUCAAGUUGCGCCAGGGGAGGUUGAGGUUGGAUCUGGGGAACAAUUUCUUCCCCAAAGGGCUGUUGGGCAUUGGAACAGGCUGCCCAGGGCAGUGCUGGAGUCACCAUCCCUGGAGGGUUGGACAGAUGGAGAUGAGGUUCUCAGGACAUGGGGCAGUGCCAGGUCUGGGUUAUGGUUGGACUCAACAAUCCUGAGGGGCUCUUCCAACCAGAAUGUUUCUAUGAUUCUAUUCUCGGCAAUAAAACUGGGGAGCUUAGUUUUUCCGAAGUAGCCCUUGCUCAUAGACUGGACAGGCAUCAGUGGGGGGUGAGAUAUUUCAUUGGCAUCAUGUCAUUUUUUUUGUUUAUUUUGUUGAUUUGUUUGUGUCUUUUUGUUUGGCGGUGUUUUUUGUUUGUUUGUUUGUUUGUUUGUUUUUUUGAGACUUAUUGAGCUGGCUUUGUCUCAACCUGCAGGUUUUUCUCCCAUUUGCACUUCCUAUUCUCUUCCCCCAUCCUGCUGUGGGGGAAUGAGUGAGUGAAUGAAGGACUGGGAGUGGGUUCAGCUGCCUCCCCAGUCCUUAACCCACCACAGCCUCCAAGGCCAGUUUUGGAAAUAGAGAAGUUGGUCUGCCUCAGCAGCUGUGGAGUUUUGAAACAGAGAAUGGUCUUGUCUGCCAAAUACUACAGCUCCAUCCAGUUUUCCUAUUUCACUAAUAUCAAAUUCUGUUAAAUAAAUGGCUAUCUAUAAUCCUAAGAAAUGUAAGAAAUCACAUGAAAAUGAGAAAAAAAAACUUAAAAAAUGUAGGAGGUCAUUCUCAUACAGAUAAUACUAACGGCUUUUGCUGCACUGUUUCAUUCUCUAAGUAGCUGUCAAUCACUGUCAUGUUUCUCUGCUAGGUGAGUUUUCUCUGUUUGUAUUUGUCCUUUCAUUUGUUCACUUAUUUCCUUGAGAACUGAACACAGUUUGUACUUUUCCUGCUACUCCACUUGUGGCUGAGAGUACACAAAAAUAAGCUAUUGACAGAACCACAGAGACUCUGAUGGCCUCAUUUUGCUUUGUGAUUGUGCUGUAAAGUCUGUGUGGGAUCAGUGAACCUAGUCAGGGUCAAGUAGAGCCCUUGCUGUAGGUGGAUAAUAAUAUUUACUGGUAUUUGACAUGUUAAGUGAAGCCGACGUAUUACAUAACGCAGAUGAAGUUUUAUUUGGGAACCUAAAAGUUGUAGUACAAGCCUGUGGGACCCCAUGAAUAUACUAUGUGGUGUGGAUGUGGUUGUGCAACAUCCAGCUCGCGUUGGCUGUAGAUAGACUGUGACUUUGCCAUCCACUUAGGCACACAGCUGGUAAGUAUAACUGAAGGAUCUUAUCACUGCCUUAAUCCUCCAUCCACAUUGAUUGCUAUCAUGUCUCAUGCUUACUUGUUACGCUUCCAUCAUAGCAAGGUAGGAACUUUUUUGGUUAUAGGAUUCUGGCUGUAAGUUGGCUCACAUGAUGCCUGCAGGGCUUCAAUACUGCCUGGUAGUAUCAUGGCAGCAUGGUAGGAGAGGAGAUGCUGUUAAUCUGUGGAGCACUAUUACAUUGUCAUGUUUUGACCUGUGCUAGUAACACAACCACGAUAGCUGCUCGCAAACCCUGUCCCCAAAUAGGGGAAAAAAUUGAAAGGGAAGGAAGGAACUUUAAUUGAGAUAAACACAGUUUAAUAAAAUAACAAAAUACUAAUACACUACUAGUAAAUAUAAACAUAUAAUAGAAAUAGUGUAUAGAAUAAAAGGCACUCAGUGCAGUUCCUCAUGAAUUCUGUCCAUGUUGAGCAACCAGUCCCAGGAAGCAGCACCUGGUCCCGAACAGCUGAUCAUGGAGAGAGAAAGGAGGAAAAAGGCAGAAAGGCCCAGAGGCCUCUGCGAAAUGGCAGGAUGGCAAAGACCAAACUAAAGAAAGUCCCGAACAGAACUCCCACAGCUCUGACAAAAACAGCAAAGAAAGCGAAGCGAACAUGAAAGCCACUUGAAGAUCCCAUCUCUCCUUAAAUCAGAAGCAUGACACUUAUGGGCUGGAACACUCUCAUGGGUCAGUCUGGGUGUCCGUCCAUCUCUGUCCGUCCAUCUCCUUCCUUGCUGCCUCACACCCGUGGGCAGAUCUCAGAGUGUCCUUGCCUCUCAGACCAGAGCAAUUAAAACAUUCACUCUGUGCUGGGUGUUACCUCUUGUUCUCAAACUAAGGCCAAAUAAUGACCUUGUCAGCUAUGAAAAAAAAAAAGAUUUCUAACUGCAUGAAGAAAAUGAACUCAUUUUCAGUCAAACCAGCACACACAUAGAGAUCAAUUCUACCUGUUUACGACUUGGAAAUUAUUUUAUGUGUUUUGUAUUUAAAGAAUUAUUAAAACACGUGAAAACCAAGCUGGUGUGGCAACACAUAAUUUUCAUAAUCUCAGCAAAAUAAGACUGUAAAAUCAUUCCUGAUUUGCUUGCAAAUUAGAAGUAAUCCAAAGCAUAUAAGUUUUUAAACAGAACAAUUUCUGUGGCAAAUGUAGCUACUAGAUCAGACACUAGAUCAUUUUGUUUGUCAGUUGAUAUUUAGGUUAUUGAACACUUCUUUUUCUGAACCACAUGGGACAGACACUUGUUGCUCAAUCAGAUCCACUGUACCCUGCCUUGCAUAUUACUGGCUAACUGAAGUAAGCCUGCUAACUAAAAAUUUUACUCUGGACAUAAAAAAAUUUGCUCUCUUUCAUCCUCACUUUCUAUAGGCCAGUUUCUGAUUGAAUUUACCAGGCAUUUCAUUGACAACUUGCAAUCAGCUUCAGUUGUAAAUAUAUUUUAAGGACUGCAUUUUAACUGCAUAUAAUAUAAAACCACCAUAAAAUUAAGAAAACACGUAUAUAAACUCAAAUAUUCCAGUUCUUCUAAAAUGCCUCCUUCUUAUAAUAACAGGACACUUUUAGAAGCCCAUGAAGAAAAGAACUCAGCAACAUGCAUUGAUAGUCACCAGAUCUCAGUUUUUUUUCAAAUCUUAAAUGUUUCCAUAGAAAUGGAAGAUAAAUGCCUUUCAAAUAUUUUUUUUAACAUCCCAUGUUUUCUGCACUACAUUUCAUUCUUCUCAUCAGUUUGCAUGUCAAUGAUCUUAUUCUGCAAGGUACCCUAUGCAACAGUUAAUAAAAAGGUGUCUAAUAAAGUAAAAUUUUAUGUUUGUCACAGGUAACUGUGGUUCAUUUACAGUGGUUAAACAAUUUCUCUUCCUGUAGGGUUAUAAAGUUGGCACGCAACAAAGAAGAACUCUUCUACAAAGUUUGCCAAUGUGUCUGCUGUUUAUAAGAGUACUGGGAAUAUUUUCCAUUCUGAAAUCAACAAUUGAAACAACGAAAUAAUUUUAAGUUACAUUCUUUCUCAACAUGCUCAUUGCACAGUAAUUACUGUAUCAUCACCUGCAACAUCUUGCAGUGCUGAAAACUUAACACCAUUAUCCUAACAAGUUUUCUACAGGAUUUUUCACUCAAGUCAGAUAAAGGACAUGCAGAGUGAUCCUACUAGCUUGUUUCUGAAAAUAACUUCAGCUGUAGCACUAGAUUCUCAUAUUGCUCAGACACACUCCAGUAUUUAAAGAAUUCUCUCCUAAAACAUGUCACUACAACGGCUGAUGUCUCUGGCCAGUCUUAAAUGCAGUCUUUGGUAACAGAAAACCUUUCCAGAAGGUAAGUAUAUAAACUUUCCCUCUCCUCAACUGUUACAAAUAUUUAAACUGCAGUUUCUAAGUAGCAUGAGAAAAGUUUCUUUAAAUGUUCUUUUGAUAAUGUAUCAUCAUUAAACUAAGAUUUCUGAGUACAUUCACAAUGACCUAACUCUUAAACCUUGAAGCUGGUAGAAAUUGUACAGAAACCACGUAGAAAGUGUUCCAUGUACUUCCUGUGAUAGAAAUUAUUUGUACUUGUGGUGGGUUGACCUUGGCUGGCUGUCAGAUGCCCACCCAAGCCACUCUUGCACUCUCCGCACCUCAACAAGACAGGCAGACAAAAUAAGAUGAGAAAGCUCACUGGGUGAGGUAAGAACAGGGAAAUCACCAGUUACUGUCAUGGACAAAGCUUACUCGACCUGGGGAAAACUCAUUUCACAGAAUCACAGAAUGGUUGGGGUUAGAAGGGACCUCUGGAGAUCAUCUAGUCCAACCCACCUGCUAAAGCAGGUUAACCUAGAGUAGAUUGCACAGGAAUGUGUCCAGGUGGGUCUUGAAUGUCUCCAGAGAAGGAGACUCCACAGCCUCUCUUGGUUUACUGUAAGUUAAAAUAGAGUUGGGAAAUUGGAAACAAAAUAUCACCUUCUCCCUCUGCCUUUCUUCAGACUCAGCUUCAGUCCAUUACAGCUCCUCUACCUCCUCCCCAACCCUGGAGAGCACAGGAAGACUGGGAAUGGUGGUUGUAGUCAGUUCAUACAGCUCCUCUCUGCCAACCCUUCCUCCUCACACUUCUCACCUGCUCCAACAUGGUCUCUACAGAGUGCAAGGGUACCUGCUCUGGCUCCUGGAACAUCUGCUUCUUCACUGACCUUGGUGUCUGCAGGGCUCUUCCUCACAAUUUUGUCUCUCACUCUUCUGCCUGUCUGGCAUUUUUGCCCCCACUUAAGUACUUUUUCACAGAGGCACCACCAGCGUCACUGACAGGCAGCUUUGUCUAUGCCUUUUAUUUGAAGGAAAAGGGAGGAAGAAAGCAGAAGGGGAAUUAACUUUCCAGAAGAACUUAUAGCUGGAUGAAGAGAGACCUUUGGUCAGUUUAGAUUUUGAGUUUACCUGAUGCUUCUCAUAACAUCUGUUGUCUUGAAGAGAAAUGGAUCCAGAAAUAUUCCUGAGUGCUUUCCUGAGCCAUGGCCAAAACCUAUACAUAAAUGAAAGAGAGUUUGUUCUAGUUUAUUUUAAAUAUAUUAUUGGGGAAAAAAAAUGGCAAUCACAUUCCAUUAGUUAUCAAGGUAGGCAUUGAACUAAAUACAAAGUCAAAAGAGGAGAUGUCCUCUUGUUUGCAUGCCAGCUUCUUCAGCUCUCACUAGAGGAGACAAUAGAAUUUUCACUAGGACUUUAUCAGCUUUGUUAACUUACCUCUUUUCUGAAAUUCUUAUAAAACAAAGAUCAGCAUAAGAGUGUGAGAUAAUAUCUGUCCUGUACCAAAGUACAGUGAAACUACAAGGAAAUAACCAGGUGAUUAUUAUAGAGCUAAAUGACCAAAUACUCAGAAGGCAGAUACAGUAAAACUGUACAAAUGUAUUGCGGCAUGCUAUGCUGAAAAAAAAAGAUAAAAACAGUCUCAAGUUUCUUUCCCCAUCUGCUUUUGAGAGAGGGGCGUGCACCAGAGAGUACAUGACAUGAAAAUCUAGUAUUUUCUGUUUGUAUGCAAAUUGCAGCAUUUUGGGUAGUUUGGGGGUCUGGGGGAGGUAGUAGUUAAGAUUGUUUUAAUUUCAGACUGGAGAGUAAAUUCCACUCCCUCCUUAAAAAAACAAACAAAACCAACCAACCAAACAAACAAACCACAAAAAAACACAAACAAACAAACAAAAAACAAAACAAAACAAAACACAAACAAAACACAAACGAGCACACCAAAAACAAACAAACAUUACCAACAAAUAAAGAUUUCAAAAGAGAGGAGAAAAAUACAGAGCCUUGUACCCAUACAGCAGACUAUCUGCUUUGGUAUACACUGGCAGUAUGAAGUGAAAAAUUAUCUUUUGACCUCAGCAUAUUUCCUCCACAGUAAGGGGACUGUCUCUGAGGGGUUCAGAACCAACUUAAUAGUGCUAUAUUAAUUCACAUUUUUCACAUUUCAUUUAAACAUGUUAUUGAAUUAUAUUUAAGACAGCAGUUCUCAAAUAAUCUUUGUGGCUGGAUUUGUAACAGCAUUUGCAGUUACACUUCCAGAAACACAAUUUCUAGUUUGGGAACUGGUCGUCUAAGGGAAAUACCAGGUGAUCUGUGUCUUGACACAGAGUUUAGACUCAGAAGAGCACAAGCUUGGUUUUGUAAGCCAGUUCUCAAAACCAUGUGGUACUGCUUUGCUCCAUUUGAGGGCCUGGGACCAUAAUUCUCUGUGGCAAUCUGGAUCUGAACAAAACCACAAAAAUGGCAAAUAUUUCUGAGCUUCAAGUGUAGGCUCAAGAUUUAGAGGUAUAGUACACAUUGCUUUCAGUUAUAUAGAGCAAAAUCGUGUGGUGACUGAGAGAUCAUAGCCAGCAAAGGCAUUAAACUGCUUUCCAACACCCCUUGAACGGUCAUGGUUGGACUCAUGGUUUGGAGACAUCUGAAUCCCAAACUAAUGCCCUAUUUAGGAUUGGAAGGCCAUAUAUCUAUAUCCAUAUCUAUAUUACCAAAAGGUGUAGUGCAAACAGAGAAGAUUUGUAGAAUGACAAAGUUAGUGUUAAGGACCUGAAAGCCUGAUCGUGUGUGUUUCAGGAAGAGGUUACUUCAGACAGGCUAGAGCUGUGAACUGACUGUCUACUAACACUUACAGUGAGUCUCCUGGUUUAAUUUUAUUAACAAGGGUUCCAGUCUGGGAGGUCCAAGAUUGCUCCAUGAUGAAAGCCAAAGUACAGCAAGUGACAAUGACGACCAGAUUGAUUUUAAAAGCACACUCCUGUUUUGAAUUCAAAUGCUAAUCCCUUAUUUUAUUUAGUUAAAGCAUAAAAAGCAGUUAGGUCACUUGCUCACUGAAUCUACAUGUUGGCAAAAUUGAUAUGACCUGAGAACACUAGACCAUCAGAAAUUCCAGCCCUGGAAGGUACAGUAAGCACAUACUGAUCAGAGAAACCUAACCCCUGAAACACUGAAAAGUUCAAAAAUGCCACCAACCACCACAAAUCUUGCAUUAUUCUCUCCCUUAUUUUUGGUUUUCUAAACUUAUGCUAUGUUUGGGGUUUUGUUUGUUUGUUUGUUUGUGGUUUUCUUUUGUUUCAUUUUGCCUUUUCUUUCUCUAGGGACAAUAAUGCAUGUUUGUCAGAAUAGCUUUAAGUGUAUAUUAUUAUUUAGAAAAUAUUUUCUCAAUGCACUGUAUAUGUAAGAGUUGUAUAUUGACAGACGUAUCCCAGAGUUUGCUGUCAGUCUUGUCUGUGCUUGAUUUACCUCUGGCUUUUUCACAAUCCAUUGUAAUGUCAUUAUCACCCUCCCUUAUUCUAUGGCAGUUGGAAUUCAGUCUGUUUUCAGAAUACAUGUAGCAAUUACCUUAGGACUAUGAGUUUACCAUACAGAAACUUCAAUGGAGAAAUGCACACCCUUAGGGACUUUGUAGGGGUUUUUUGGCAAUGUGCUGAGGUGGUUUCUACAAAAAUCCCCAGAACCUUAAAACUAGGCCAGUUUCAUUAAGGGGUCGAGUAAUACUGACGGGUUUCUAGUGGUUGGAAGCCAUCUGAUGCUCUGAGAGAACACUGCAGGUCACAGAAAUGGUUCCUACAUGUUCACCUACAUUGUGUUUUCCAGAGUUAUACUGAGUGUAUAUAAUACACAAUAUACAUGAAAAUCCUUGGAGUGAGAAACCUGUCAGUCAAAUUGUCAUCAUUUUUGUUCUUUAUUCUGCUUUUUGUUGGUUUUGCACUAGAUUGGAGUAAACAUGAUGCAGAAAGCAGCCUCCUUCAGGAACAAGCUUUGUUCUGUUCGAAUCUCCAUUUCAAUGAUAUUCCAGAAAAUGAUGUCUUGUUUACCUAUCUCUGGAUUCUCUAAGUGCCUCAUUUGCACUGUCAAAAAUUGACCUUUCAUGAGCGUACAGUCCAUGGCUUUGAUCUAGAGCUUCCUUGAAGUCCCAGCUUUUAUUAUAAUGUGCUAUUAUUUUGAGGUUUCCCAAUUCGGAGUAUCUGAUACUACAAGUAGCCAAUGUAAACUAGAAAAAGUUCAUGACAAUGACAUUCUAUAGCAUGACACUCAACUGGUAUGUGAGCUAAUGGAACGUGUCAUGAAGACAUGUGCAUAGUCAUUGUGACAGUGCUUGUGUUGGCUUCCUAGAUUGUGGGAAACAAGUUGGUACAGUUUGCACUCCCUUUCUCAGACCUGAGUCAAUUAUAUCCAGGUUCAUUCUGACAGGAUUUAACAAAAUAGUUCCCUCUGCAAAGCAACAGGCAAUGAACAGCAGUCAAGCAUCAUUGACAAUCAGAAGUCUGGGGCUCUGGGAAAAAACAAACAAACAAUCAAACAAGGAACAAAUCAAAAUGACAGGACAGAGUUACCAUUACAUUCAUAAUUUUUAAAUAAAUGUGUUAUCCAAAUAUUUUAUUUUUUUUUUAUUUUUUUUUUUUUUUAACAGCAAUGUUGUCUUUCUAGUCACAGAAAUAUUUCCUGGAAGUUAUGGAAAUGUUUUAAGCAAUUCACUUCUCAUCUCCAUCCAGAAAGUAUUUGAUCAUUAAGUAAGAGCAUAUAAGCAUGCUGUUCCCCAUUUUCUGCACCCUUUUGGUUUUGCUGUAGACAGUUUCAUAGCCCAGGGUUUGGAACAUGUGAUGGAGCCUGUAUGUUACAUUACACUGAACUUCAAUAAGGCUAAAACCACAGUGAUGUUUGUAACACAAAUAUAUUUUUCAACCUAGGUGGGUGGGUCAGUUUUGACAUUACAUUUUUUUUUCUCCUCUCUUUUGGUGUAGCUUGCCAAAUAAUAUCCUCCAGUAAUCUUAUAGCUUUCCUUGUGCUGCCCUAUAGGUGGCAUCUGCCCAUCCUGAACAAGCUUAGCAUAGUUUUUGCCAAGUUUCUUGUCCAAACAUUUCUGCCACAAGUAGGUUGCUCAUUAAGAUUAGUUGCUUUGGGGAAAAUGAGACAGGAGAAGAGAAACUGAGGCUUCUUUCAGGGAGCCAGCUGUAUAGGAAAUACUUACUAUAAAAGAAAAUAAGUAAAAAGUGUCACAAACAAUAAUAGUUGCUUUGCAAUAGGUGUCUUGUUUCCAUCUUCAGCAAAAGUGUAACUACUCAGAUUUCCCUUCUGAUUUGAGAUACUUGUGCUACUUUUCUAAACCAGGUAGACCUGUAUAUACCUGUACAGACCUGUUAAUACCUGUAUUAACAGAAUGAGAAAACAAUAAUUUAACUUACGGUGUAGUUUCUCAAUGGAAGUACUAGAAACAUAAGACAGACAAAUUCUUUGUUCCAGGCACUACAGUUAGAUAUUUGACUCACACAACUCUGUAUUUACUUGACUUUUCUUUCAUAGUAGUUGCUUUAGAAUUAAUGGGGCCUCUUCAUGGUAUCAAGGCUAAACUCUGAGUUUGUGUUGCAACCUUCUACUGGAGAAGAAGACUUGAGCUACUACCAGGAACAUGUUUUUGCUGAGUACAAUGGGCAAAGUCACCUAAGCUCUUAUCUCUGCUCUCAACAGUUCCUCAUAAAAAGAAGCUGUUAUCUUAUUUUAAAAAUCCAAUUUAUUUGUAAACUGAUAAAGAGUGCAAAUUGUCAUUUACAAUGAAGAGUUUUGGAAGGAACUCAGGUUAACAGAUUCUGUAUUAGAUGUCAAUAUUAAGGUCAUCCAAUAAACAUGAAUAGGUACGAACAUUAAUUUACAGGACAUACAUGUUACAGGAAUGGUAGGAAAAUAAAUUUGAAUGGUAAAAGCAUCGCAACCACUCACUAAAUCUGUAAUUUGUCUACUUACAUGAAUUAUUUUAUACAUUCAGCUGUCUCAAGAAAUUAACAGAGGUUGUAUUAGAAAUUUGUCAGUUAAGCUGGCAGAUUCAGUGGCUCAUUAAAUUCAGCCAUGAGGAAGGAAGAAAAUCCGAGAGCACCAGUUAAAAUAGAAAGCCUUUGAAAUGAAUGUCUUAUCUCCAUCCACAGCAAAAUUAGUCAAGGCUUUUCUCCUGAAAACAGGUUGAUAAAACUGUAGUGGAUACCACCCUGCACUGGUAUCAGAUACAUAUAUCAGAUAUAUAUAUCAGAUACAUCGGAUAUAUUGGAUUAGUUGACUUUGACAGAAGUACACAGAUUAAACAAAUAAGCAUCUGGGCCACUUGAGGUACUGAAAUUAAGAUCUUGAGAAAUACACCAACUUAAAUUCACUAAACCAUUUAGAUUAGUAUGGGAUCAGUGUGCUGAUCAGUAUGACUAAAGCUCAGCUUUUCAUAAAAACAUUGUGAGUUGAUACUAGAUAGUUAGACUUAUUUACGAGCUAGUAACCCAACAGAUAUGAUUUUUACCAUUCCCAAUGGAAAAAAAAAAUACUAUUCCGAGUAAAAGCCUCAAGAAGAUUCCAAGACUGAGGAGAAUGAAACCUUCACCAUAUGCAUCAUAAUCUUCCCAGAAAAUACCCCAGUGAUAAUUGCACAUGGUAAACCUCUCCUUCUCAAAACCUUGAGGAAGACCAGAAAUGUCAGCCUUGGGCUACAGAGGAAUGUUGGAAGGUAAACAUAGGGCCAAGGCAAAGCAGUGGGUACUAGGAAUGUCCGUUUCUGUAUAAUAAUUUUCAUUGCAUUAUUCAUGAGGUUUUUCUGUAGCAAGUAGGUAACUUGGGCUAUUAGGCGUUUAAAAGAUUAAUGUGACUAAAACCGGAACUCAGUGUUGCAUAUGCAGUUUUUCUUCAUGCAUACAAUAUUUUGAUUGUCAAGAUCUGAACAUGCUUCCUAGGACUGCAGUUGGGGUGGAAUCUUAGAGUGACUGAGGCCUCUGAAAAGGAGUACAGACCACUGCCCAGUCAAUAUGCAUUUUUUAUGUCCUGUCAGGUAAUCCAACCAAGCCAAGCAACAGGAGCCGCUGCGAUCAGGCUCAUCAUGCAAGACUAACCCCAUGCUAGAAGGGACAUCUUGAUUCAAGGGUUACAGGGUCCAGAUUAGACUUGUGUUUUCCAGGACUACAUUAUUCCAGGGGGCAAUCCAUAACCACAAAGUCUUCUGGCUGUUAAAGAUAUUUCUAGAGUGGGCGAGUUGAGCAGGUGGGACUCUUGUUUUGCACUUUGUACAACCAUUAAACAGUGGAGUCACAAGGCUAGUGAACUUGGUGCUUUGGAAGGUGGUACCUUUUAUUUUUAUGAAGUUUUAGGUCAGUGACACGAUACUUAAUGCCUCAGCACUAGCCUCUUGCUUUUAGGUGAGGUACAUUCUAAUUACGUUUUUAGCCAUUUUCCCAGACUUAUGACAGCACUUCAUAUUCUUAAAUGCAACAGCAUUUGAGUGUGAUCCAUGAUAACUACAUGAUUGUAUGGCAAAAUAAAUAAGAGCUAGCUUCUCAGCAUUGAUAUUAAAGCAGUAUUUUUAAAGCAGUAGCUCAGAACACUACAUCUUACAGUGGUGCUUCUUUAAUGCUCUAGGCCACUACUGCAGAACAGUCUUAUUUUUAUAAGCUUGAUGGAAAGAUUAGGUGUCAAAUUUAAUAAACCUUUUGGCUCUUUUCUAUUAUUCUAUGUCAUGGGUAACCUCUGCUUUGAAGCAGGUGGCAACAAUCCAAAUAUAUAAAGUACCAUAUAUUAUUUGAUAUUAUUUGCAUUGAUUGGCAGGUUUAAGACUAAGCUGUAUUAAUGAAUUUCUGUGUAUGUAAUGUAAGUGGUUCAGACAGACUAGGGUAAAAAUCUUAUUAGUGAAGUAUAAGGAAAUCUGUAUUUGGAUGAACAAAAAUUUCAUUUCUUCUGCACUGAAUGAUUCUAAAAACUGGGUAUGACUCCAGGUUUAAGGAAAACAAUUCAAAUAUUUUUGUUAAUAAUCAAAAGUAUUCAGUUGACCGACUAACCAAUGCCUGUACAUCUGUACAUCAGUUACAUGAGCCCUUUGUGUGAUUACAUUAAAACUGAGCUGCAUAGGAAUCUUUUGUCAGUAAGGUGAUGCUAAUUUUUGUAAAAUAUUUAUUUAUCCAAGACUGAAAUGUCUCAGUGGGAAUGUACUGCCUUUAACUAAACUUGCACAAUGAAA